CCUACGGGAGGCAGCAGUAGGGAAUAUUGCUCAAUGGGGGAAACCCUGAAGCAGCAACGCCGCGUGGAGGAUGAAGGUUUUCGGAUUGUAAACCUCUUUCGUCAGAGAAGAUAAUGACGGUAUCUAAUGAAUAAGCACCGGCUAACUCCGUGCCAGCAGCCGCGGUAAUACGGAGGGUGCAAGCGUUAUUCGGAAUUACUGGGUGUAAAGAGCGCGUAGGCGGGAUAGCAAGUCAGAUGUGAAAUCCUAUGGCUUAACCAUGGAACUGCAUUUGAAACUGUUCUUCUAGAGUACGGGAGAGGUAGGUGGAAUUCUUGGUGUAGGGGUAAAAUCCGUAGAGAUCAGGAGGAAUACUCGUUGCGAAGGCGACCUGCUAGAACGUAACUGACGCUGAUGCGCGAAAGCGUGGGGAGCAAACAGGAUUAGAUACCCUAGUAGUC
rnacentral:rRNA from 1 species